CGGAGGGCAGCAGGGGCGGGGGGAGCCUGCAGGGCUGCUCAGCCUUGUUUUUCUGCAGAGGGGACUCCUUCCGUCCUUUGGUCUCUUAGUCAGCUUAGCCAGGUGUAAACGAAGCGAAGGGCGCGGUGGGGGGCGGGAGGCGUUCGUCCGGAGAGGGAAUUUGAAACGUUGCUCGAAAGCCCUCAUUCGGGGGGCAGAGGGUUGGUGCCGCUCUCUGUUUGACAGGCAUCUGUCAAACUCUCGCCCAGCUUUUUAUUUUUAAUCUCUCAUAAGCCACAGUGCCGCAGUUUGACAGCCCUGAGUCAGUGUGAAUCCAAGCGCUCCUCCUGUGUGGGCUGGUGGAAAGGAGGUCCCAGCUGCAGAUGCCUCGGGCUGAAGCAGCAAUUUUACUUCUCGACUGUUAACGUGACACUUGGGUGACUGCAACAGGCUGAGCAAUGUGUCUCUGGCAUGUGUCCCUAUGUCUCGCUAAAAACAGCCACAGUAAAACAGGAUGGAGAAGAAAAUAGGAAAGAUGAUAGUAUUUGGAGAAAAAUUGCAUAUCCACAGAGAAGAACAAGUUAUUUCAGAUGGAGAAAAAGUCUUGCAACGACAGCUGAAAUGUUGAGCUAGUAAAAGAAAACUGUGAAAGGCCUUGAUUACAAAUCUAUUUGUGUGUCAAAAAUACCAUGUGUACUACUUCAUAGUUUUAUGGAUUAGGCUGAGCUAUGGUGAGGCAAUCUUACCUCACCAGUUCAUCUGUAACAGCCUUCAGUGGAGUAGACUACUUAACCCAACCGAAAUCUGUUCUUGCAAAUGGUAUAAGCACUUAUUUUAUUAGAACUUUAAAGAUAGAAGUUUCCAUUAUUUAUGAUGUACCAACUGUCUGCUGUAGUAGCCUCCCAGAGUAAGAAAUACUCUCUUUAAAAUGAAUGGAUGUAUAAACAGGGAAAAUGAGGUCUGCAGGCUUGCAAUUUUCACAAACUUAAUAUAUAUAAAAAUUUAAAUUUUUCCUGUAAUGCUAUUAAUGUAUAUGAAGUGGUGCGAUUUUCCUUUGUGGUAUACUGUCAGAAAACAGGUGGCCAGGUUUCAUACAAUAGUGGAAGGGAAAAUCAAUACUGUAACUGUGGCUUCUUUUCCAGACUUGUCUGGAAAGGAUUUCUGGCAUAUGUCUUUUUCUGCUUCAUAAGAUAUUGCAGCAUCUGGAGGCUGUGCAGUUAAUCUCAAACUCUCAGUAUUUUAACCCAUACCUUUGUAGUUUAAUACAUAAAAUACUCCCAUAGCAUGGGAAGUUUCUAAUGAAAUGUUAUAAAUAGCCAGAUCUAAAAUUUAAAAAGUUACAGGGAAGCAACCAUUUUGGCUCAGAUGAGUAUAUUUUGCCUAUCAGCUAAGAGACUAUGUAUGGUAUUGCCGAAGACUAGACCAGUGCUGUGCUCAGAGGAGAAAAAGCAUAUUCUUGCUUUCUUUACCCUCUUUGACCCUCUGAAAGGAUAACACUUGCAGGCUUUGUGUACUGAUUUUUAAAUCCAUUGUGCGUAUGUCUAAGCAUAAGCUUCUCCUAUCUAUUCUGUAAGCAGAUCAGAUAAAGUGCUUUGAAAUUCUACCUGAAGCCAUUAAAAUGGUGACAAGAUGUUUUAUUUACAAAAUUGUAUGUUAACUCUUUGGUGUUUUCUAAACUUUGAAAUCUCUCAUGUUAGCUUUGUUUAAUCUUCUCAGACACAUAUAUCUCCAAAGCAAGUUUAUUUAAAUUAUUUGACUUUUUUUUUGCUGAUAUUUCACAUACGCCCGGUGAAACUCCUGACAGUUCUCUGUGUGGUUUAACAGAAACCAACAAAUCUUUUGUUUGCCCAAAUGUGACAUCAAAUACAUCAACUAGCCUAUACUGUCUAAGCCAGCAAAUCUAUCCUAUGUUCACAUGUACUUAUCAAUAUCUCACUGCAAGAUAUGAAAAAUUAUUUGUCUUCUACUUGCUGUUGUUUAUGUAAUGAUGCUUUGCCCUUAACUGUUCUGUACCCCAUCCCUCUGGCCUAAAAAUAGAUCACCUGUGGAAACAGGCUGUGAAGUUUUCAUUAUAGAAUGUGUUUGAUCUGUACAAGCCAGUGUAAAUUUAUAUUGUGUGUAUCCUUUAUGAUUAUGAAAAACAAAACUUCUCCUUCCCUGAGGCAAGACAUGUUAAUAAAAGAAA